rnacentral:rRNA from 1 species
ACCGUAAACCGACACAGGUGGGUGAGAUGAGUAUUCUAAGGCGCGUGGAAGAACCAUUGUUAAGGAACUCUGCAAACUAGCACCGUAUCUUCGGUAGAAGGUGUGCCUACCAUCGUGAAUAGCGAUAGAGGUUGCAACAAAGAGUCCCUCCCGACUGUUUAUCAAAAACACAGCACUAUGCUAACUCGUAAGAGGAUGUAUAUGGUGUGACGCCUGCCCGGUGCUUGAAGGUUAAUUGAUGGGGUUAGCAGUAAUGCGAAGCUCUUGAUCGAAGCCCAAGUAAACGGCGGCCGUAACUAUAACGGUCCUAAGGUAGCGAAAUUCCUUGUCGGUUAAAUACCGACCUGCAUGAAUGGCGUAACGAGAUGGGAGCUGUCUCAACCAGGGAUCCAGUGAAAUUGUAGUGGAGGUGAAAAUUCCUCCUACCCGCGGCAAGACGGAAAGACCCCGUGCACCUUUACUACAGCUUGACACUGCAAUUGGGAUAUAUUCGUGCAGGAUAGGUGGGAUGCUAUGAAACUUUGACGCUAGUUGAAGUGGAGCAAAUCUUGAGAUACCACCCUUAUAUAUUCUGGUUGCUAACUUGCGAGUGUUAUCCACUCGGAGGACAAUGUCUGGUGGGUAGUUUGACUGGGGCGGUCGCCUCCUAAAAAGUAACGGAGGCUUACAAAGGUUAGCUCAGAGGGGUUGGAAAUCCCUCGUAGAGUAUAAUGGCAUAAGCUAGCCUGACUGUAAGACAUACAAGUCGAGCAGAGUCGAAAGACGGUCAUAGUGAUCCGGUGGUUCUGUGUGGAAGGGCCAUCGCUCAAAGGAUAAAAGGUACGCCGGGGAUAACAGGCUGAUCUCCCCCAAGAGCUCACAUCGACGGGGAGGUUUGGCACCUCGAUGUCGGCUCAUCGCAUCCUGGGGCUGAAGCAGGUCCCAAGGGUAUGGCUGUUCGCCAUUUAAAGCGGUACGCGAGCUGGGUUCAGAACGUCGUGAGACAGUUCGGUCCCUAUCUUCCGUGGGCGUAGGAACGUUGAGGAGAGCUGACCCUAGUACGAGAGGACCGGGUUGGACGUGCCACUGGUGCACCAGUUGUUCUGCCAAGAGCAUCGCUGGGUAGCUACGCACGGAUGAGAUAACCGCUGAAAGCAUCUAAGCGGGAAGCCAACUCCAAGAUGAACAAUCCCUGAAGAUCGCAGUAAGACUAACUGCUUGAUAGGCUGGAUGUGUACGCAGAGUAAUCUGUUUAGCUGACCAGUACUAAUAGAUCGUUUGUCUUUUUUUU